CUUUGUCGGCGCGGCCAUUCGGCGCCUGACAUGCAAAAUUGAACGCCGGGGUCCGUCGGCGUCCGUUCUCUUCUUCCGCUCCGCGGAGUCGCGACCAUCGUCUCUGAGCCGCCGCUGAAGAACGGGACGACGCCGAACGAUGGAUUCCUAUCAGCGGGCAAACACGUCCUACAGAUCGUGUGGCUCACCCCGAGCUCAGUCUCAAAGAGUGGACGUCAACUACCUUCGGCAGGUUUUCUACAAAGUCGACAAGGACCGCAGUGGCCGCAUAGACGCCAACGAGCUGCAGCAAUGCCUGUCCAACGGCACCUGGAAGCCAUUCAACCCCAACACGGUGCGCAUGAUGAUAAACAUAUUCGACCGCAGCCGUUCGGGCACGGUGAGCUUCGACGACUUCGUGUCUCUGUGGAAAUACAUCAACGACUGGCUCCGGUGCUUCCAAGACUUCGACAAGGACGGCUCGGGUUCCAUCGACAGGUACGAACUCCGCGACGCCCUCGUCAGCUUCGGCUACCGCCUGAGCGGGGAAGCGGUGGAUCUUCUCGUCCAGAAGUACGAUCGGGAAAAGAAGGGAUCCAUCAACUUCGACGACUACAUCCUCUGUUGCGUCACGCUGCAGACCUUCACGAACGCAUUCAAGAGUUACGACACCGACCUGGACGGCUACAUCACGAUAAGCUACGAAAACUUCUUGAAGCUCGGACUCAGCGUUUUUGUGUUGUGAGCACGGUUCCAUCUUGUUCGUCGAGACGUGAUCAAAAUUUGCGACUGACUUUGCGGCGAUGUGGGCCGCUGGUUUCUCCCGUAGAUCUUCGAGGCCGAGCAAGAUUUCUCAGUAUUAUCUUGGUGUGCGCUUGAGUAAAUAUUUCCUUCGUUUAUGUAUACGCCAAGGUAUUUGUAUUGCUUGACUGUAGGUAUGAGUUGCUGUUGAAUUGACACCACGUAAUUACUCGUCUCUUCAUUAACCCCCGAAUGCAGAGAUCUAACUUGGAUCGGGCUUGGACUUGACUUGACGAAGUCGGCCCGAAGCAAGAAGCGGACUUCAAAACGCCCAAGUCGGCUUCCGCGUUUCAUAGACGCUCAAGCUGACUUGCUUCGUCAUAAAAGCACUUCUUGUUGGGCUAGUUGGUAGCUGUUCAUUAUAAAAUAUGAAGACGCCAAAUAAACAGACACACACAAGAGAAGAGAACGGGACAGGGCGCCACUCGCAACUGUUUUAUUUACAGAACGCAGGCACAUAUAUACUGUCAGUCAACACAUGCGCACAGAGCAAACAUUCACUCACGCAUCUAAUCAAACAUUCAUGACGCA